AAUAUAUUAAAUUGGUGCUUAGCGAAAGUUUUAGAUGGAAAAAUAGUGGAAAUGAUUUUUGAGCAUGGCUCUUUAUCAGAGAAACAGAAAAGUCUUGAUU